rnacentral:rRNA from 1 species
UACGAACUGCGCGAACGUUAUUCGGAUUCACUGGGCUUAAAGGGUGCGUAGGUGGGUGAUUAAGUGGGAUGUGAAAUUUUGCGGCUCAACCGUAAGACUGCAUCUCAUACUGGUCAUCUUGAGUGAGUCAGGGGUGUGUGGAACUGCCAGUGGAGCGGUGAAAUGUGUUGAUAUUGGCAGGAACGCCGGUGGCGAAAGCGACACACUGGGGCUUAACUGACGCUGAGGCACGAAAGCCAGGGGAGCAAACGGG